AGACCUGGGGCUGGGGCUUGCUGAGGAGGAGAAGACCAUGUGAAAAUGAUUUGUUCAUCUGUGAUCAGCACACUGUGGAAGGUCUCCAGAGAGAAGAGCUGCUUUGUGCAUGGAAAUUCAGCUGGACCUGCCUGAUGAAGAUGUCAGCAGGCACUGGGCAUAGGAGGAGGAUGCACCUGGACCAGAAUGGGACAGAGCAGAGCAUGUCCUGAUGAGUGUGCACAAGCUUCUGACUGCAACACCAUCCUGAGAAAGCUGCCUGUGGAUGGAGGGAACAGUAGGAGGAAAGCCAGCAGGUCUCUGUUCAGGCCAAAGAUAAAAUGAUACUAAUCACUUCAGAGGAACUUUGUCUAACAUGGUUAUAAUAUCAACAGAAUGCCAGAAACCUCUCUCAACUUGUGUGGAGAUCUUCAAUCCAUACCUGAUGGGAAGGAAGGAACAGUGUUCUUUAAGGGAAUGACAUUUUUAAUGCCAGAAGAAUGGUAAUGUCCAACAGGACAAGAUAGUGCUGGAGGCAUGCAAUGCUGCACAAUGUCAGCAGAAACCAAGAUUAUGGAAGUCUAUCUGUUUUGAACAGAUUAGAGAACCACCGACCACCAGGGAUGUCCCAUGGCAAUGAGAGUCUUUGUUGUUUCUCAGCUGAUUCGACUGGACACCAAGGCAAACAGAAUGAAAGAUGUCAUCAGUGUGAUGCUUGUCUCC